UUAUGUAUUUAUUAAGUGUAGCAAUAAUUACGCUAUGUUGUGAAUCGUUAAUUGUCCUUAUUUAUAUGCUCUCCAGCUUCAAGAUUAUUCUCCAAACCUUUACAGAAUAAAGCGGUAGGAGGUCCCGCAAUUAAAAAAAAACAUUUCCAUAACUUAACUAUACGUUCUUCGUUUUUUUUUACGUAUUUGAGUAUAACUAUAGCAUUUUACAAUAUUUUUGAUAUUCUUUAUUUCCAUAGUCAUAUGCGGUAAAUUAAGCUAUAUACAAUAUAGCUUUUAAAAGGAAAAACAAUGUAGUCAUCGAUCAUUAUGAUAGUUUAUGAACGCGUAGUUGACA